rnacentral:misc_RNA from 1 species
GGGGAAACUAGUGUUUGAGAAGUUACCUUCGAUAGGAAGGCGUAAGAAGCAUCAAUAUCUUGUGGAAUUGGAGGGUUCUCUUUGUAUGUAAGACUGGGAUCAUAAAGAUGAUUGUCAUAUGGAUGUUUGGGUAAUGGAUGAUGUUGAUGGUUGGAGUAAGAAAUACAGCGUUGGACCAUUAAUCGGAUUUUUUGACCGAAUCUUGGGUUGUUUGAGGAAUGGUGACAUUGUAGCUAAGAAUGAAAUGGAGUGAUAUCCUUGUGUGAACCCAUAUCUAAUUCAGUCAAGGAAAAUUUCAGCAUUGAUAAUAGCAAGGAUGAAUCUUAUGUGAUUGUUGAUUAUUCAGAGAGCCUAUUUCUGAUUGAAGGGAUGCUACCUGUUAAGAAGCAAGCUGCUCAAGAUAAAUUGGCGCGCAAAAGAGUCACAAGGUUAUUUCCUUUAUUUUUUGUUGACAGUUGUUGCUGCAUGUAAGGGUUGGAUUUUCUGGCGCACUCCUGUGGCUUUGUUGUAAUGGCUUUCACCAGAAUUCUUUUCCUUGCUGCAUUUCUUCUUCUCCUUUCUUUCUGGUUACCCUGUUAGUUUUUCUGUUAAUGUUGGUAGCUGCUGUACUAAUAUGGAUUGGGAGGGGAAGGAACCCUAUUGAUUCAUCUGUUGUGGCUCGGGUGUAUGUAGAUCUCUUUGCCUUAGCAGUUCUUUUGCUGGGAGUGGCAUUGGCAUGCUAUGG